GCGGGCGUGGCGGAAUCGGUAGACGCGAGCGGCUUAAAACCGCUUGGCUUCGGCCGUGUGGGUUCGAGUCCCACCGCCCGCA
rnacentral:tRNA from 1 species